AUAGCUCUGAAGAGGCAACAGCUGUCUGGGCAGAAACAGUGGGCUCUAAAUUUUCUUUCUUUGAUCCUCCUUCCCAGAGUUUUAAAGUGAUCUUUUCCUUCUCUUUUUCUUUACCUGCUUUGCCUCCCUCCCUCCUUCUCAUUCUCAGCCUACUCUAGUCUAUAUGCUGCAUGGAGUGAGACCACCUGGCAGCUCCUCUGCCAAGGACCUGGGUGAAGCUCCUGACUCUGCUGAAUGGUGUGAGCAGCAUCACAUGUCUGGAAAAGACCCUGAUAUGCACGAAUUGCUCUAGAGAGCUCAGGAUUCACCUAUGUAGUCUCAGGAACCUGAGAACAUGUCCAGAUAUGAUGGAAACAGUUUGCAGAUAACGAUGGAUGACCCAAACCAGCCUCAUCUCUUGCACAAAGCAUGGGCAGGAGGAGCCCAUGGGGGUCCUGGCUGUGCCGGGGGGCCUUGGGGGCAGAGGAUGGUCUGGGCAAGAGCAGGCUGCGUGGAGAUGGGGCUGGACAUGGGGAUGAAGAGGAGGACGGUGUGCUGGGCUGGGCUGGGGAAGGCUGGGCUGCCCAGGGCUGGCUGUGCAGUGGUCAGCUGUCGCUGCUGUCGCCGCCCCUGUCCCGGCUCCUGGCCGUGCCCACAGCGCCGCUGGAGCAGCGGGGAUCGAGCUCAAUGAGACCCCAAAAGAAGUUAAAGGGUCUUGUAGCUGCUGCCAUCACUCCAAUGACUUCGGAUGGGUUCUUGUCCUGUCACUGUCUGGGCUGAAGCAAAUAAUUUUGGCAGCCUGGUAGCUCACCGUCACUGAAACUUCCCCUAAAUCUUCUGAAUUUGUUUUUUUGUGCGGAUUGGACCACAAGAUCAUUCAUGUAGGAGCACUGAAUCUGCCAGAGUGCCAAGAGCUGGCAAGACACGCAGCAGCCAUAGGUGCUGGUGGCAUUGCUGUCAUAGCCCCCUUCUUCAUCAAACCCACAACUCACAAAGGUUUUGGUGUUGCACAGACCAAAGCUAUAAUGACUUUGGUUUCUGGCAUUCCCAUGGGACCUCCACGGCUUCCGCUUGUCGAUGCCUCCAGUGAGUUCAUUGUCAAGGCCAAAGCCAAGCUGGACAGCAUUGUGUGGCCUAAUGGUGACUGAUCAUAGAGUCAUGGAAUCAUCAAGGUUGAGAAAGACCUCUAAAAUCAUCAGGUCCAACUAUUAACCUGACACUCCUGAGUCCACCACUAAGCCAUAUUACCAAGUUCCACAUGUAUGAUGUUGUUCACUUCCAUGUUGAUCUGGAGGUUUCUUUUUUGGGAUUCUCUGACAUAUGGCACAUCCCCAACAUGAUGGGCAGGAUUUCUUUCAGGGAACUGGCAGUGUGCCCAAGCCCCUUCCUGUUAUGGCUGACUUUGCUGGGACACAUGUGGCCUGACAUUUUACACUGCUCCCCUGGAACUCUGCAUGUUCCAGGACUGACCGGGCUUGUUUAAUAAAAUAAUAGCACAUUUUUCCCCAGUUAGAGGAGAGGGCUGAUGACUUUUGCCUAGAAAGGAGGAAGAACCAUCUCUACCCCCUCUCAGCUGGAUGGUGUUUUGUCAUCUCCAUGAGGACACUACAUUGUGGGUUUAAAAAACUGUGAUACCAUCAGGUUGCUCAGGCUGGUAUCUGUUCAUCAAAGUCACUGGGAUAUUGUCUGUGCAUGUAAAAUCCUGCUUCUGUCUGAUCUGUUUUUAUACACCUUAAUGCAAAAUUAAAAAAAGAAAUCCCUUUUGUAACAGCAAGCUCUGGAUCACUAAUUAGCAGGUAUUUCUCAAUUUUUUUUUCCUUAGGACAGAAAUAAAGCUGAUUGAGCUGUACACCUCCAUGUGGCAGUGCAGAAUGCUAUAAUGCAGGUUAGGAAGGCAUAGAGUCAUAGAAACAGAAUGGUUUGGGAUGGAAGGGACCUUAAAAUCAUCCCAUUCCAUCCCCUGCCCUGGGCAGGGAUGCUUUGCACUGUCCCAGGUUGCUCCAAGCCCCAUCCAACCUGGCCUUGGACACUUCAGGGAUGGGGCAGCCACAGCUUCUCUGGGCACCUUGUGUUAGGGCCUCAUUACCCUCACAAGGAAGAACUUCUUCCUAAUAUCCCAUCUGACUCUGCCCUCUGGCAAUGGGAAGCCAUUCCCUGCCUCCUGUCACUCCAGGCCUUGUCCCAAGUCCCUCUCCAGCUCUCUUAGAGCCCCUUUAGGCACUGGAAGGGGCUCUAAGGUCUUACCUGAGCCUUUUCUUCUCCAGGCUGAACACCCCCAGAUCUCAUAGCUUUUUCUCCAGAGCAGAGGGGCUCCAGCCUUUAGAGCAUCCUCGAGGCCCUUUCUGGACUUGCUCCUGAAAGGGUUAAAAGCAUUGUGCCUAGGCACACUAGGGCAAGAAUAAGAGACAUGGUAACCAACAUAGAAGCUAGCAAAUAUUUACCCACAAGCUAAAGACACGGCAUGGAACGAGGCAAGAAAUAGAGAACAAAAGUUGCAUAGAAUGAAGGACAAAGCUUGCUAAAACCAGUAAGGAAAUCGCUGAAGCAGCAAACAAGGGGCUGUGCAUGGCUAGAGGAGAAAGUUGAAAAGGGCAGGGCGAGGAAGACGUCCAGCCUUCAUCACAGGAGCACCGAGGAAGACGCGGAGCCUUCCUCAGUGCCACCACCAGGGUGCACUGAGCCUGCGCUUGGCCUGUUUUAAUGCUGCAUUCUACUAAAGUUUGUAUAACCAUACCUUUCCUAUGGAAAACGAUGAAUGUGCAUGAGCACAACCACAGGUUGUAAUUUGCUUUGUGCCUGGCUGUGAGCUGUUAGAAGGAGCGCUGAAUAAAGCAAACAC